GGCGUACUUAACACAUGCAAGUCGAACGGGGAGCGUCGGUGUAGCAAUACAUCGGCGCUUCGAGUGGCGCACGGGUGAGUAACACGUGGGUAACCUGCCCUUGAGUUCGGGAUACCCUCUCGAAAGGGAGGCUAAUACCGGAUACGUUCCUCGGGUCGCAAGACCGGGGGAGGAAAGGUAGCGCAAGCUGCCGCUCUGGGAGGGGCUCCCGGCCUAUCAGCUAGUUGGGGAGGUAACGGCUCACCAAGGCGACGACGGGUAGCUGGUCUGAGAGGACGACCAGCCACACGGGGACUGAGACACGGCCCCGACUCCUACGGGAGGCAGCAGUGGGGAAUUUUCCGCAAUGGGCGAAAGCCUGACGGAGUGACGCCGCGUGGGGGACGAAGGCCUUCGGGUCGUAAACCCCUGUCAGAGGGAAAGAAGGGUUCGGGCGUGAAUAGCGCUCGGAUCUGACGGUACCUUCAGAGGGAGCCCCGGCCAACUC
rnacentral:rRNA from 1 species